rnacentral:lncRNA from 1 species
AAUAAUAUUUUACAUAACCAACCACUUCUAAAGAUUAAAAAAACCCCUACGAUUAAAAACCUCAGGUCCCUCAGGCAAUCAUACCAGAUAUUGAAACAAAGCAAUAACAUAAGGACUGCAGUAUUCAUUUUAUUUUUAUAUUAUUUAUUUAUUCUUCCUUAGUUUCUUGAGAUUAUCAUCCGCUGAGGGUGGAAGGGGAGUGAGCAGACACACUCAGGAGGUGUCUUGAGAUUAUCAUCCGCUGAGGGUGGAGCUGAGGGUGGAAGGGGAGUGAGCAGACACUCGGGAGGUGUCUUGAGAUUAUCAUCCGCUGAGGGUGGAAGGGGAUAGAGCACACACUCGGAAGGUGUCUUGAGGCUCAGGGAGUUAUCAAUUAUAGAAUGUUGUUGAGUUGGAGGAGGUGGCUGGGGAGUGAGCAGACACUCGGGAGGUGUCUUGAGAUUAUCAUCCGCUGAGGGUGGAAGGGGAUAGAGCACACACUCGGAAGGUGUCUUGAGGCUCAGGGAGUUAUCAAUUAUAGAAUGUUGUUG